AACGAACGCUGGCGGCAUGCCUAACACAUGCAAGUCGAACGAACCCUUCGGGGUUAGUGGCGCACGGGUGCGUAACGCGUGGGAAUCUGCCCUUUGCUUCGGAAUAACUCAGGGAAACUUGUGCUAAUACCGGAUGAUGUCUUCGGACCAAAGAUUUAUCGGCAAGGGAUGAGCCCGCGUAGGAUUAGGUAGUUGGUGGGGUAAAGGCCUACCAAGCCGACGAUCCUUAGCUGGUCUGAGAGGAUGAUCAGCCACACUGGGACUGAGACACGGCCCAGACUCCUACGGGAGGCAGCAGUGGGGAAUAUUGGACAAUAGGCGCAAGCCUGAUCCAGCAAUGCCGCGUGAGUGAUGAAGGCCCUCGGGUCGUAAAGCUCUUUUACCAGGGAUGAUAAUGACAGUACCUGGAGAAUAAGCUCCGGCUAACUCCGUG
rnacentral:rRNA from 1 species